UUUUUUUUUUUAAAUGAAAGCAAGCAACGGAAUCAACAUUUGUCUCGUAUUGAAACAUGGUCCAAUCAAAUGUCAUCUUGGUUUGGUUGAAUAUUCAAUUGAGCAUUGAUAUUCAUAAGUGGUGCUUACCAAUCAGCACUAAUAAUUGAUUCAUGCAAAUUAAUUGAAAUCAUUUAAACAUCACAUUAUUGCUUAUCAAUAAGUGAUUAUAAAUAGCAUUAUAUCGAGUUAAUUGUUCUAUUGGUCACUAAAUU
rnacentral:lncRNA from 1 species